rnacentral:tRNA from 1 species
GAGGGUGUAGCUCAAGUCCUAGAGCACAUGCUUAGCAUGCACAAGGUCCUGGGUUCAACCCCCAGUACCUCCA